rnacentral:hammerhead_ribozyme from 1 species
AUUCAACUGAUGAGUCCCAAAUAGGACGAAAAGCGCAUCAAACUGGAU